rnacentral:rRNA from 1 species
GACGAACGCUGGCGGCGUGCCUAAUACAUGCAAGUCGAGCGGACAGAAGGGAGCUUGCUCCCGGAAGUUAGCGGCGGACGGGUGAGUAACACGUGGGCAACCUACCCUGCAGAUCGGGGUAACAUCGAAUAAUCGGUGCUAAUACCGGAUAAUCAUUUGAAGUGCAUGCUUCGAAGGUAAAAGAUGGCUCCGGCCAUCACUAAGGGCUGGGCCCGCGGCGCAUUAGCUAGUUGGUAAGGGAAUGGCGUACCGAGGCAACGAUGCGUAGCCGACCUGAGAGGGUGAUCGGCCACACUGGGACUGAGACACGGCCCAGACUCCUACGGGAGGCAGCAGUAGGGAAUCUUCCGCAAUGGACGAAAGUCUGACGGAGCAACGCCGCGUGAGUGAUGAUGGUUUUCGGAUCGUAAAGCUCUGUUGUUAGGGAAGAACAAGUGCCGUUUGAAUAAGGCGGCACCUUGACGGUACCUAACCAGAAAGCCACGGCUAACUACGUGCCAGCCGCCGCAGUAAAAC